UACAGAGGGUGCAAGCGUUGUUCGGAAUUAUUGGGCGUAAAGGGCGUGUAGGCGGUUCGUUAAGUCUUCUGUGAAAUCUACGGGCUUAGCCUGUAACGUGCAGAGGAAACUAGCGGGCUUGAGUGUCGGAGAGGAUAGGGGAAUACCCAGUGUAGAGGUGAAAUUCGUAGAGAUUGGGUGGAACACCAGUGGCGAAGGCGCCUAUCUGGCUGACAACUGACGCUGAGACUCGAAAGCAUGGGGAGCAAACAGG
rnacentral:rRNA from 1 species